GCCUUCUGGAAAAAAAGGCUUCCUGUAAAGCCACGUAAGACUGAGAGCAGCCAUAUAGUUCACGCAAGGCUAAAAUAAUUUUAUCAGGGUCCCCACGCUCAAUCUCAGGAUGAUAACGAACUUCCUCACGAGCCUCUCCCUCUAGCUGGUCAAAUAAGAAAAAUGCUUGAUCUGCAUUAGACAAAUGGCGUAUCCUCAUACAGAUUUUUGCCUCCUCUACCCACUCGUCAAUACCCAUACCGGUUUUACCAUUAAAUUUUGGACAUCUACAGUCUCGGGGUGCAAAAACAAACUUUUCGGGCGCAGAGGUGCUGGCAACAGAUAACUGAGGGAUUACUGGUGGUACUGCAGCGGUGCUAGCAGCAGCAGCUCAACGGCCACCUGAGCCUGCUGCAGCCUCACAUUAUCAGCUUUCAGUUGAGCCACCAGUUCUCUCAUUUCUUGCAAUUCAGCCUCCAUCUUAUCAAAAGAGAUAAAACGAACUUACUAAAUUCUCACAGGAAUAUUACAAAGGAGGAUAACCCACCCAUGGAAACACUGCUGCCCUGUUCAAACAAAAAAAAAAAAAAAAAAAACUGAAAAAAAAAAAAAAACUAUUAACAAACCUCAAAAUGUACCCAUGUCUAAAAUAUGCCAAAAUAUUAAGAUAAACCCUGCCGACUACGCCAUGAAUGUGGCAACCCGGAGGUGCAUUUGAAGGAUAAUUUGCCAACUACGCCACUCAGAGUUACACCCAGAGAAUUUAGUGUCUCUUAAAGGACACGCAAGUUCGUUCAUCAAUAAUCGCUCAGAGACAUGGGUGACGAUACAAAACAGCUGACUUUAAGUUACACAAUCAUUUUAAAACACUCGUUAAAAAAUAUCAGGCCUCAGCCAAUCACAGCUCAUCAUAAGGGUUUGACACUGAAAAGGUCACAGAAACACCAGCUAACUGGGGCUUACCAGCAGGGUCAGGCUAUCAGAGAUUAGGCUGCCUAUAGCAGAGAAAUCAUUCCUUUCACCAGUGCACGCAAACACACGCACACCACACUCCACAGAUGGACACGGCACACUGUGAACAACACACCACCACCGCUUAGAAGGGAAUAGAGCCUGCCUCCGGCACCCAGAUCCUGCGGCACAAGAACAGAGCAAUCUUAAUACGAGUCACUAAAAUGCACACAGAAUAAUUAAGGUGCUGGAUUGCCUUAUAUUGAUUUAAAUUAAACAAAACCCAAAAUAAGAAUUAACAAAACUGGAAGUGAAAUGUACAAGGCCUAGUUGCCCCAAAAUUACAAAUCAUAAAUCAAACAACUAAUUUAAACAAAAAUAAAUACAAAAGACAAUGGAUUUUAGGUUACGGAAAAAUAAACCAAACCGAACUCAAUCAAGUUACAAUUAACUAAGCAGCAAAACAAAAUACAAACUAGGAAAAUACAAAAAUAGAAAAAAAAAACAAAGAUCAACACAAAACAGCAAUGUUAUCAAAAACAAAACAGCAAGGCUAUCCGUGGGCAGGACGUGAAACGCGCCCAACUAGCAGUCGCAGCAGUGCGAGAUCUGCAGGAGAAACUAAUCCAGCGAUUUGAAUCACAUGAGAGGCAAUGGCGAUCAAGCAAUCAGCGUAUGCUCAACAUUUCCGGGCGAGCACCUGGAAUAAAAUAGAAUGUUACCAUUUAAUAUUACUUAUAGAGCCUCACCCGAACUUAGUAAACGCCGGUUAGACCUACCAAUGAUGAAUAUGGUGCGUGCAUAAUCAGUAGCGCACACACCCAGCAACGGUAGUCACAGCAGCAGUGUCCACACAAGAAACGGAACAGCUGACUCGCACUUUACGAGGGGAAAUGACAAUGAGGAACUUACUAAGGGAGUAACCCCAGAGUGCAGUCUGGAGGUUGGGGCGGGAUGACACUUCGACACGUGUCGCCCCGCCCAUAUUUGUUUUCCCCGCCUUUGACAUUUUGCUCCGAGCCAGCAGGGGGCAGUUUGCGUUGAAACAAACAGAACGGUGGCAACUGCAGCAGCAGAGUAAUAACGCUAUUUCACGUUGAUUGCAUGAGGAUGACAUGAUCAGGAGGUGGUGGUGUUCUGUUCUCCUGGACAGCUUCACUCAGCAAAUAGCUCAACCACUGAGGGGAGGAACUUCACCAUUCACCAUGUCUUCAGGCAGAGUCCAGCAAAGCAGCUUCCACUGGAAAUCCUCAGGUAAGUUAUUUUGUCGGCGGGUGACUGUCCAUAUUUGACACUUUCUCUGGUUUGCAGAUGGUUUAGGGAUGUGCUCACUCAAGAAGUUUUUCGGAAAGCGGCACACUUUGCCUGGCUAGAGAUUGUGGCCAACUGGAAGAAUUGUACUCCUGUCUCCUGACCGGAACGAGUUCAGAUGGAUGUACAGCAUCAGGGAAUGCUUGCAGUGCAGAGCCCUUUUCAAGUUUAACCCCCCAGGGUACAGGGAAGAGACCGGCGUGGUGAUCUUCUGGGUUUUUAUAUACACAGGAUUUUGUUCCAAGGACUGUUUUUUUUUUUUUUUUUUUUUUUUUUUUCUCGGCAUGAAACACAUUUGUGUGUUAAGUUCAUUGAAGGGAAAUAGUUGAACUGAGAUCAACUGGUUUUGAUGUAUUAAUUGAUGUCAUUUAAAGUUAAACUUUGCAGUGUAUAAUGUUUUAAUAAAAAAGCUAUGGCAAACACGUGCAUGACAA